rnacentral:lncRNA from 1 species
GUGGAUACUAUUGUAUCAGAAAUGAAGAGAAAUUACUUGCCGGCUGCUGGGGAGGUUGGCGUGCGUGCCAAACCUCACUCUGAUUCUCAGAUGCUCGGCAGUCCGUCUGUCCCCAGGUCGUAAGUGCCGUAUGUGGGAAGAAGAGAAGUGCUGCUGCUGGCGUCUGGCUGCUCCGUCGUAUCCUGCUCACUAUCACUGCUGGUCUAACGCGUUUCGUGGGUGUCAGCCCCACUUCUUCAGAGACAUGCAUGGUGUCUGGCUGCUCCGUCCUAUCCUGCUCACUAUCACUGCUGGUCUAACGCGUUUCGUGGGUGUCAGCCCCACUUCUUCAGAGACAUGCAUGAAUCAGCAAAAUUUUGGUACAACAGCAGAAUCUACUGACAAUACUAUACAGACCACACAGGGAUAUCCACAGGAUGAAGGAAAUAUGGAGGCUGUGGGACAUUACGUCACCGGGUCCGAUCCAUGCACUGUUCUCUCCCUGGAUACAGGUUUGAAACCUAAAAGCACUUUCACACCACACAACAUCAAUACAUCUAUUGAUUUAUUCACCAAUCUUGUGAAAAAAGAUAUGUAUAAACUUAGGAGAAAACAUCAAUAUACCCAUAGUUAUCAUGGAAAAAGUAUAAAUUUUACCAAACAAGAUUGGUUGAAUAUCAAUAAUUUAAAGAAAGAUACAUCCAUCAUUAUCAAACCGGCAGAUAAAGGGGGAGCACUGGUGAUCAUGGAUCGCACAUAUUAUGUAAAAGAAAUCGAGACCCAGCUAUUGGAUAACACAAACUACUUACCUAUUAGUCAGGAUCCUACGCACAAUCUGAAACGCAUACUAGAUAAACUUAACCAAUGGGCCCUCUCUAAAAACAUUAUCUCUGAUGGAGAAUAUAAGUAUAUGAAUCUCAAAUAUCCUAGAAUUCCGGUGUUCUAUACCCUCCCUAAAAUACAUAAGAACCCUCUUUUUCCACCAGGCAGACCAAUAGUUAGUGGAACUGGGUCUAUAUUCCAACAUCCAGCAGAAAUACUGGAUAAAUUUUUGAUCAAAUAUGUCCCAAUGCAGAAAUCAUACCUCAAAGACACCACUACAUUCCUUACAUUACUAGCAGAUAUACAUAUCCCAUCUGGAGACUUUUGGUUGGUAACCAUGGAUGUACAGUCACUAUACACUUCAAUUGACCACAAUAGAGGGAUUGAGGCAGUAGAUUGGACAUUAGAUAGAGACCCGAGACUAACCCAGCAAGGAGAGACCCGAAAAUAUAUCAGGGAAUUACUUACUUUCAUUUUGACUGAGAAUUAUUUUUUGUUUGGUGAUAAGUACUACAAACAGAUUAAGGGUACUGCUAUGGGCUCAAAUGUCGCUCCAACAUAUGCUAACAUUUAUAUGAAUCGAAUGGAGGAAACAUGCAUCUACCAACAUCCUUUAUUUUCCAAAUGCAUAGUUUGGAAAAGAUACAUAGAUGACGUGUUCAUAUGUUGGAGCGGCACUAGGGCCCAUUUACAGGAAUUUUUUGAGUCAUUAAACACACAAGAUGAAAACAUUAAAUUCACUAUGUGCUGUGAUACUACUACAGUCCCUUUUCUAGAUGUUCAGGUACAGAGAGUACAAAAUUGCCUUCAUAGCGAUUUGUAUAUAAAACCUACUGACCGUAAUAAUUUAUUGACUUACACAAGCUUUCAUCCAAUCCAUCUGAAGAAUGGAUUACCAUUUAGUCAAUUGUUAAGGGUGAAAAGGAUUGUAUCAGAGGAAGAUAAAGUGAUGACGGGUUUAGAUUUUAUGGCCAAUAAAUUCAUAGAGAGGGGCUAUCCCACACAUGUAGUUGACAAUCAACGACAGAAGGUUGAUAAUCUUUCUUGACAAGAAACCCUUUCAGGUGCAGGGGCCAGAGACAAAAUAGAAAGGAUUACGUUGGUAACACCAUAUACCCCACUUAAUAAGGAGAUAAGACAUGUUAUAUUAAAACAUUGGCAACUUUUUCAGGGGGAUACUCAACUACCCCCGAUAUUCCAACAGUCUCCACUUUUUGCAUAUCAGAGGGCCUCGAACCUGAGGGACAUGAUAGUAAGGUCAGAUAUUGGCAGUUCGAAGAAACAAACCAGAUUUUUUUCAGAACCUAAGAAGGGCACUUUUCCAUGUUUAAAUUGCUCACACUGUAACAGUGUGAUCAAGGGGGAAUAUUUUGUUCAUCCCAGAUCAGGUAAGAAAUUUUAUGUUAAAGAGUUUUUUACAUGCAACUCUGACUAUGUUGUGUAUGCUCUUAAGUGUCCCUGUGGACUCCUGUACGUGGGGGAGACCAUCAGGCCAGUGAAAGAGCGGAUAGGGGAGCAUAAAAGGAGCAUUAGGGCAGCAUUACAACACAAUAAAGUGGAGGCUCCGGUACCCAGACAUUUUAAAGCAUAUGGUCAUAACGUAAACCAAUUAAGGUUUCAAGUCUUGGACAGAAUCCCACCUCUACGUAGAGGAGGGGAUAGACAGAAGCUCUUAUUACAGAGAGAAACAAAAUGGAUAAGUACCUUGGAGACUUUGUCACCAUUAGGGCUUAAUGAAGACUAUGACCUUAAACAUUUCUUAUGAGAAGUUUUGUCUUCCUUUUGCAUUUAUUGCCUGCUCUAUGAUUUUCUGCUCCUUACAGAGGCUCCCCUUGACCAGUUUUGGUCCGGUGUCCUUUCCUGCCAACAUUUUGACCUCUUUGGGUCCGCUACCUGCCAUCAGCACAGGGUUCCUCACAUACGGGACCCAGGGGCACGGUGGGGCAUUACGAGACAGGUGAGUUGCAUACUCUGGUUUUUCAUUUUUAUUCUAUUUUCUAUUCAUGUUAUUUUUCCAAAUUUUUUUUUCAAAUUUAGCUACAAACAAAAAAUAUUUUUUAAUGAGGAUCUUUUUUCAUCCAAGAUAUUUUUUCUAUAUUAUUUUUUUUCAUUUUUUCAUUUUUAUUCUUUUUAGUAUUUUUUCUUUCUUUUCUUUUUUCUUUUUAAAUAUAUUUUUUGGAAUUUUUUGAACACUGUUUUCCAUUGUUGCAUGAGACAUAGAUAAUCUAUUUUUUAUUAUUUUUUCUCUUUUUUCAUUUUUAGCUGAGUAUUCUACUGAUCUAUAGC